ensembl:lncRNA
AGCCACCCUGCUGGCCUGAUCACUUCUUGUCCAAUCCUAUUGCUAUUGAUUUUGUUCAUGCAAGAUCUCUUAAAUUUCAUGCAAUAGAAAUUAUUUUUUCUUUGGUGAUCAAUGGCAUCAAUCUCUCUCUCUCUCUCUCUCUCUCUCUCUCUCUCUCUCUCUCUCUCUCUCUCUCUCUCUCUCUCUCUCUCUCUCUUUCUCUCUCUCUCUUUCUUUCUUUCUUUCUUUCUUUCUUUCUUUCUUUCUUUCUUUCUUUCUUUCUUUCUUUCUUUCUUUCUUUCUUUCUUUCUUUCUUUCUUUCUUAUAGAAGCCACAUAAUGCAUAUUAUCUUGAAAUUGAAUUCUUCAGAUGAUCAGCUCAUCUUUUCUGUUCCCCACUCCCAUCCCCACAGGUGAUCACAUGACCAGAUCCCCAUGCUGCUCAUUUUCUCAGCCCUACCUCAUUAUGGCCAGUCACAUGCCAGAGACCACUUCGUAAGGGACAUAAACAGAAAAUAGGGAGCCACAGGGAAUUUAUACAGCAAGAAAAUAACCCAUAGCAUCAGAGAAAAGCAGUCUAAAUCCCCCUCAGAUAUUGUCCCUAAUGCUGCCUUUUGUAAUCUCUCUCCUCUUUCCUGAGCUCCAAUUCUCCCUUCACUAAAAUUUUUGGAUUUUCUUAUAACAGGACUGUUGAUACACCAGCCUGUAUUUCAAGAUGCCUUUCAUCUCUUUAGACACAAAUACUGUUCCAGAGCUCCACCUACUUGGGAACAUCCUUCUUGUUGCCUGCUCCACCCCUACAAUGUGGGCACCUGCUAUUGCAAAGUCACUGCCCUGACUUUCUCCACAUUUCUUAACUUUCACUUUAGGUAGAACACAGAGCAAUGGACCCUCUCUAGGAGAUGUCCUCUGGGUGCCACGGUAAGCACUAUCAUGGAUGUUUUGUGUGAUCUUCUGCAAGCCACCUUUUGUCUUUUGGCUAUUUUCUCUUUGAUUGAAUAUGUAGAUUGGAUGAAUGUGGAGUGGAAUAUAGUGGUGGGGUGGGGGAAUGUUGGACUUGAUAAUUUCCAAAGUUCCAUCCAUCCUUGAGACUCCACAAUAUUAGGAUUCCCCUCUCUCUCACUCCCUACCCCAUACCUUCCCAGAGGAAAUGGAUCAGAAAAACAUGAGUGAGAGAGGCUUUAGAGAGGAAUUUCUAAGAGAUCUAUGGAGGCUGGUGGGAGAGGGUUGAAUCUGUGUGAAUUCAUGGGGGGAUCCUGGUUAUCAGAGCACAGAUGAAGAAUUAGAUAAAGUGUUAGAAUCAAAUAAUACUAGGCUCAUAUCCACCUUGUGACAAUAAUUCUGUGACUAUUGGAAAAUCUUUUAAAAUUUCUGAUACUUGUUUCCUCAUCUUUAAAAUUGGGAUGAUGAAUUCUAUAAUGCCUCUCUCAGAAUUGUUAUGAGAUCCAUUUGAGAUAUUUUCUAUAAAAUGCUUUACAAAUUCCUAAUUCAAAUUCAAAAUUGACUACUAUUAUUAGAGAAAAAACAACUAUGAAACUCUUCUCUUCAUGAGAUGCAAGGCCAAAGAGUAAAAUUCAGAUACUUCCAAAUAAGAGCUAUGUCCAGGAACAGUUGAUCCCUAAUAGAACUUGCAAUUCUUCUGACUUUGUAAUGCACAAGAGGCCUCUGGACCAACAGGAGGCUAAAGGAGAUUGGGGACUGAAGUCACCUCAAGACCAAGGAGAUUGAGGGAACUCAUUGGAUAAGCAAUUGAAAUAAUAGGGGGAAAGGGGUACUGUCCAGGACCCCAAAAUGUGGUCAGAGCAAGGAAUAAAUGGUAGUAUGACAGUGGAAGAAGCA